rfam:Human gut metagenome DNA, contig sequence: F1-T_000456.
UACUUCUCACUCCAGACCUUGACCUGAUCGUCUGAUUAUCGAUACGUAAACGUUUGCCUAUACACACCCUGAAUACAAUUUUCAACAUUGCAUCACGUCGGGAAAACGACACAGAACGACAGGAAGGGGUCAAUGGCCGAUACGCUUUCAAAUUAGCGUGGGAUUUUGUCCGAUCUUGCGGCAAAGGGGAAGAGCAAAAAUGUGCAUCACCCUAAAACAUGGAAGAUUUUUGCGCUAUAUUGUGCAAAAAUGAGCAAGCUCACUUUUCAUGUGGGGAUAACUGGGGGGAAAAAUUGAUGGAUACAGAUUUAAAGUUUUCGCUGACGACAACGAUUAUUGUCCUGGGUCUCAUCGUGGCCGCCGGCCUGACAGCGGUGCUGCACUGAUUU